UACGAAGGGUGCAAGCGUUAAUCGGAAUUACUGGGCGUAAAGGGUGCGUAGGCGGUUAGUUAAGUCUGUUGUGAAAUCCCCGGGCUCAACCUGGGAAUUGCAUUUGAGACUGCACGGCUAGAGUGUGUCAGAGGGGGGUAGAAUUCCACGUGUAGCAGUGAAAUGCGUAGAGAUGUGGAGGAAUACCGAUGGCGAAGGCAGCCCCCUGGGAUAACACUGACGCUCAUGCACGAAAGCGUGGGGAGCAAACAGG
rnacentral:rRNA from 1 species